UUGGCCUGUGUUGCCUCAGUCUAUAGGAGGAGAAAGCUCAUCUCCCUCUCAGCAGUUUGGCAACAAAGGAAGGGCGGGGCCAAGAUGCCAAGAUUCUUUGAAGGCCACGCCCGGCCACGCGCCCCUCCGUGACUUAACUUUCAUUAUAUAGGUCGCACUUCUUCCAUAAACUCGCAACAGUGCCAGCACCCAGAGAUGAAGCCCCCAGGAACCAUUAGAAGACAUUUAAGAUCCAAAUUGUAAGAGUGGCUAAGGACUUUAACAAGAAGUCAGCAGCGACUCUGCAUAACCAGUGAAGAAACAGGAAAGGAAACAGCCUCAGGGAGGAAGGCAACCUGGUCACAGGAUAAAAGUGUCCAAGUCUUCAUAAACAUUUUUCACUUUAAAAAAAAAAAGAAGAAGAAGAAGCCAAAGUUUCUGGUGUUUUUGUGUGGGGAUGGGGAGAUCUGUGCAACUAAACAAAUGGCCCCAGAUCAGACCCGCUGUCCUGAGUUAUAUUUUAACUCUCCCUUUAACUCUUUGUGCUAAAUGAGAGAGAGAGAGAAAAAACUGACCAGAAAUAGAAAUAUUGUUCUAAAGCAUUUGAGAAUUAUAAUCUUUGGGGAAAGUUUGGGUUUCCAAUUUCCUUUCCUCUGUGGGUGAUGUUAGAAAAAAAUCAUCUAAGAUCUCAGCUUUUCUGAGCUUAGAGGUCAAGAGGCGACUGACUCUAGUCUCCCACAGCAUGUCUCCUGCUUGUCUGGUCAUGCUAGUCACGAUAAAGUGGUGCGAAGAACUGCGGUCAAAGUUGCUAUUCCAGCAGCCUGCAGAAGCUCUCAAAAGUAUCAAUAAGAUGUUGACGGUUUCAUUCGCUACUGAAAGAGCAAUGACAAAGAUGUUCAUUUUGUGCCUUGGUGGUCACACUGGAAUAAGAUGUCAUAGAUGCCCAUACUUAACAGACAGUGCAACUCGGUGUAAGAGAAGCCAUGGCAGUGUCUACAUGUGGGCAUCCAGGGCUAGGCAGGCAGUACUGACUGCCUGGAGAUCCACCCUGUAUCAGUCUACAUGGAUUCACUUGUAUAUGCCAGGUCUGAGCCGGCAAGGAUGCGAUGCUAUUCUCAGCUUGGUCCACAGGUCCUAGAGCUGCCACCGGAAUGCAGGGGCCAACAGCCAUUCCAUUGUGUCCCUGGUGCUGAGUGGGUGGCUGCUGGCCAAGAUGGAAACCUUCUCAGAUGCCAUCUUCCCCAAAUUGUACCUUGUUUUAGGUAGUACCCUCAAAGUCCAGCAAUCCAAAGCCUCUACGGGGAGACCGGCUUCAUUAUACUGUCCCCAAGGGCUAUUUUGCUCAACACUCCAAGUUUAAGUGAAGACUCGUCUGUCCACACAAUGGAAGCGGAUAAACUUUUCUUCUUAACUUUGAAGAUGGGUUUCCUCCGAUGUUUGUGCAGCAACUGUUUCAACUUGUCCUUAAAAAAGGAGGUCGUCAGAGUGUAGAGGAUGGGGUUUAAGGCGCUGUUCACCGGAAGGAAAAAAACCACGAUCCAGGAAGUGAUUGUGCCUGGCGAAAUAAGUUUGAAAGGAAAUAGAAAGUGGAUUUUCUCUCUCUCUCUCUCUCUCUCUCUCUCUCUCUCUCUCUCUCUCUCUCUCUCUCUCUCUCUCUCUCUCUCUCUCUCUCUCUCCUCUCUCUCUCUCCUCCCCCAGGUCCAGUCCUCCCCCACCGACACCCGUCCCCAGCCCAUCCCUACUGCUGUAGCAGAACACCAACUGCAACCUCCCCCACAACAAUCUCCCGUGGAUCCCACACACUGUCCUCACCUAACUUCCCUGUUCCCACUCGUGCAAUUACAGCAGGCAGCAACUGCUAAAGCACAGGUCAGGCUUGUUGACAUUCCUUCUACGCUCCGCCCAAUAGUUACCUAGCAACAGCCUAGUAGGCCAGGCUUGCUAUAUAAAAGGGAC
rnacentral:lncRNA from 1 species